CCUACGGGAGACAGCAGUGAGGAAUAUUGGUCAAUGGGCGGGAGCCUGAACCAGCCAAGUCGCGUGAGGGAAGACGGUCCUAUGGAUUGUAAACCUCUUUAGGCGGGGAGCAAUGCCUGGCACGCGUGCCCGGAGGGAGAGUACCCGCAGACUAAGCAUCGGCUAACUCCGUGCCAGCAGCCGCGGUACUACGGAGGAUGCGAGCGUUAUCCGGAUUUAUUGUGUUUAAAGGGUGCGUAGGCGGAUUUUUAAGUCAGCGGUAAAAUGUCCGGGCUCAACCCGGGCCGGCCGUUGAAACUGGGGAGCUUGAGUGGGCGAGAAGUAGGCGGAAUGCGUGGUGUAGCGGUGAAAUGCAUAGAUAUCACGCAGAACUCCGAUUGCGAAGGCAGCAUACCGGCGCCCGACUGACGCUGAGGCACGAAAGCGUGGGGAUCGAACAGGAUUAGAUACCCCAGUAGUC
rnacentral:rRNA from 1 species